UAAUUAAUCGGUCCUUUCUUUUAUUUAAAUUAUUAUUUUAUUAGUAUAAAAAUCAAAAUUAUUUAGAGGAUACAAUAUUACCGUGAGGGAAUAAUAUUUUUAUAGAGAAAAAGUCAUUUUUUGUACCUUUUGUAUCAGGGUUAAUCUAAUUUUUAUUUUAAUAAAGUUUUCCCGAAAGUAGGUGAUUUAUUUCCUUUUAAUGUUUCUGUGUCAUAAGUUUAUUUAAGAAGAGAAUCGUUGUUAUAAAUAAUUCGGACCUAUAUAUCUGGUUAGCUGCCUUUCCUUUUAGAGGUAACCAAUAUUCUUGGUUUAUUUAAUAGGGGAUGAGCUCUUUUAACAAUUAUAUUAUUUAAUUGAUUAGUUGAAAAUUGAGGCUUAGAAAUUGCCCUUUUGUAAUAAUUAACUCAACUCUUUUUUUAAUUUUAUAAUAAUUAAGAUUCUGAGCAGCUUACCUAUAAAACUCAACUGUUAGGAAAAGAAUGGUUGAAUUAGUAGAAUAAGAUUUUAUUCUUAAGUAUUAAUUACUGUAGAAUGACGAAUAAACUAAAAAAGGAACUCGGCAAAUUUAGUUUCCGCCUGUUUAACAAAAACAUGGCCUUUUAUCUUUUUAAGGUCUGGCCUGCCCACUGAUAUUGAAGGGCCGUGGUAUACUGACCUGCGAAGGUAGCAUAAUCAUUUGCCUUUUAAUUAGGGGCUGGAAUGAAGGGUUUUACGAGAAACUUUCUGUCUCUUUUAGUAAUUUGAAUUUAAUUUUUUGGUGAAAAAGCUAAAAUUUUCUUGUAGGACGAUAAGACCCUAUAGAUCUUUAUAGAAUUUCUCUUAAAAUUUUUAGUUUUAAGUAAUUUUAAGAUUAGUCUAUUUUGUUGGGGCGACAAUGAGUGAUGAUUUAUCUCUCAUAUUUAUCUUACAAUUAUCAUUGGGUUUUGAUCCUUUAGUGAAUUAAGAUUAAGUUACCUUAGGGAUAACAGCGUAAUUUUUCUUGAGAGUUCUUAUCGACAGAAAAGUUUGCGACCUCGAUGUUGGUUCAGGAUUCCUUUUGGGCGCAGUAGUUCAGAAAGGUAGUCUGUUCGACUAUUAAAUUCCUACGUGAUCUGAGUUCAGACCGGCGUAAGCCAGGUUAGUUUCUACCCUCAAGAUUUUUAGAUUAGAGUAGUACGAAAGGACCCUUUAAUCUUUUGU
rnacentral:rRNA from 1 species